rnacentral:rRNA from 1 species
AUUGAACGCUAGCGGCAUGCUUUACACAUGCAAGUCGAACGAGUGGCGGCCGGGUGAGUAAUAUAUCGGAACGUGCCCAGUAGCGGGGGAUAAAUACUCGAAAGAGUGGCUAAUACCGCAUUCCAUAGGAGCGGCCGCUAUCGGAUUAGCGAGUUGGUGGGGUAAAGGCUGACUAAGGCAACGAUCCGUAGCUGGUGUGAGAGGACGACCAGCCAUACUGGAACUGAUACACGGCCCAGACUCCUACGGGAGGCAGCAGUGUUGAAUUUUGGACAAUGGAGGAAACCCUGAUCCAGCCAUCCCGCGUGUAUGAGAAGGCCUUCGGAUUGUAAAGUACUUUUGGCAGAGAAGCGGUACCUGCAGAAUAAGCACCGGCUAACUACGUGCCAGCAGCCGCGGUAAUAC